rnacentral:rRNA from 1 species
ACUCCUACGGGAGGCAGCAGUGGGGAAUAUUGCACAAUGGGCGCAAGCCUGAUGCAGCGACGCCGCGUGGGGGAUGACGGCCUUCGGGUUGUAAACUCCUUUCAGCCAUGACGAAGCGGUGACGGUAGUGGUAGAAGAAGCACCGGCUAACUACGUGCCAGCAGCCGCGGUAAUACGUAGGGUGCGAGCGUUGUCCGGAAUUACUGGGCGUAAAGAGCUCGUAGGUGGUCUGUCGCGUCAUUUGUGAAAGCCCGGGGCUUAACUCCGGGUUGGCAGGUGAUACGGGCAGACUGGAGUACUGUAGGGGAGACUGGAAUUCCUGGUGUAGCGGUGAAAUGCGCAGAUAUCAGGAGGAACACCGGUGGCGAAGGCGGGUCUCUGGGCAGUAACUGACGCUGAGGAGCGAAAGCAUGGGUAGCGAACAGGAUUAGAUACCCUGGUAGUCCAUGCCGUAAACGGUGGGCGCUAGGUGUGGGUUUCCUUCCACGGGAUCCGUGCCGUAGCUAACGCAUUAAGCGCCCCGCCUGGGGAGUACGGCCGCAAGGCUAAAACUCAAAGGAAUUGACGGGGGCCCGCACAAGCGGCGGAGCAUGUGGAUUAAUUCGAUGCAACGCGAAGAACCUUACCUGGGCUUGACAUGCACUGGAUGCGGCCAGAGAUGGUUGUCCCUUGUGGCUGGUGUGCAGGUGGUGCAUGGUUGUCGUCAGCUCGUGUCGUGAGAUGUUGGGUUAAGUCCCGCAACGAGCGCAACCCUUGUCUCGUGUUGCCAGCAUUUGGUGGGGACUCGCGGGAGACUGCCGGGGUCAACUCGGA